rnacentral:rRNA from 1 species
AUUGAACGCUGGCGGCAUGCCUUACACAUGCAAGUCGAACGGUAACAGGUCUUCGGAUACUGACGAGUGGCGAACGGGUGAGUAAUACAUCGGAACAUGCCUAGUAGUGGGGGAUAACUACUCGAAAGAGUGGCUAAUACCGCAUGAGAUCUACGGAUGAAAGCAGGGGAUCGCAAGACCUUGUGCUACUAGAGCGGCCGAUGGCAGAUUAGGUAGUUGGUGGGAUAAAAGCUUACCAAGCCGACGAUCUUUAGCUGGUCUGAGAGGACGAUCAGCCACACUGGGACUGAGACACGGCCCAGACUCCUACGGGAGGCAGCAGUGGGGAAUUUUGGACAAUGGGCGCAAGCCUGAUCCAGCAAUGCCGCGUGCAGGAUGAAGGCCUUCGGGUUGUAAACUGCUUUUGUACGGAACGAAAAGCCCCGGGUUAAUACCCUGGGGUCAUGACAGUACCGUAAGAAUAAGCACCGGCUAACUACGUGCCAGCCGCCGCCGUAA